rnacentral:lncRNA from 1 species
GUGUCUUGCUUGGCAUGUCAAAGGCCCAGAUUUCAAUAUGAAACCAUGUCUGCAGGAGAGAGGAAAUCUACAAUGCCUUCACCCAUGAUGUUAUUUCAGGCAUUCAGUUGUAAAUGGUUGCCAUAACACAAGCACAAACCACAACAAGUGCCCCACCCUUAACCCAAAGGCCCUGCUGUCAAACUGUAUUGUUUGAGUAUAUUGGGGAGGGGUGGGGUGGGGUGAGGAAGAGGAAGCAGUUCAACUGUUGGGAUUUUUGGAGGUUUCAGAUGGGGGUCCUCCUCAUAUCAGUGUUUUAGUGGUGUGUUAAAAAUGACAAAGGCACUGAACUUUGAUGAUCAGCAAAUGGGGUAACAAUCAUGUGCCAAUGGCAUGCGUGAACCCUUGCACCGAGCCAUCAUACAACUGUUUGUAAGUCCUUUGCUUUGUGGUAUGUUGUCAAUUUGAAAUGUUAUGUAAUAAUAUUAAUAUUAUUGAAUAUUAUGUUAUAUCAUAUGUUUUACUGAUGUGCAUAAAUGAGGUCUGUCUAUCCCUUUUAGUACAUUAUUUUAUUUUAUUUUUUUACACAUUAACAUUUAGAACUGGAUCAACAGAUUUAUUCAACUGUCCACUCAAUCAUAGAACCCUGUCACACUUUUCACACCACAAACAUUCAGCAGGAUGACGUUUAUUGUCAUGAGUCUUGUCCUGGAGGCAGAACUGAGUGAUUUUCCCUUCGAUAGGCAAGCUGCAAAGUCACAAUUGGCUGCUGUAUAUUAUAAAAAUUCAUGAAAGCGAACAUUUGUUUUUUGGUCUUAACUUAUGGUUAGGGUUAGACGUUAUGGUUAGCAGUGUGGUUAAGGUUAGGUUUGUGGCUGUGCCAGCUAGUGACCACUCUGCAGAGCUGCAUCCAAAACAAGAUUCAUGACAAAAAACUCACCUGCUAACAUACAGUAAGUACACUGACCUUCGAUGAUGUGAAGCCCUUACAAAGCUCCUCUGGCUUUUGCUACACAACACUACCCUUCUUCCAUCUCGCUCUCCAUUUUCUCUCCUAUUCUCCAGGCCUUCUUUCACAGUUCCCCAGAUUCUUUACUUUCAGCCCCCCUUCAUCCACUCCACUUCCUAAAGUGUUUUCCAACCCC